UUCUCUCUCCCUCUUUGUCAUCUCCUCCAGUUCCCGAAGCUGGUAAACUUGAGUGUCCUCAUAAGACUUCUAAUGAUGAAACAAAGUUUGAAUCUCCCAGCCAGGUCAAGAUCAUCAUCCAUCCUCAGACUGACGGCAUGGAGACAAGUUUCUGUUGUCGGGGCAAUGCCGGCCUGCAGACCCUGAAAGCUUGGAGCUGUGAACAAGCCUGGAAGUGGGAAGAGGGGCAUCUGUCCAAACCACUACCCUCAGACGUCCCUGCCUCCUCACACUACCCAUGCUAGAGACUGGACAAGGGACAGACAGACUCAAGCAAAGCCAACAUCCCAGGAGACACUUCUACCAUGGAACUAUCUCUGCCCUGGUGGCUACGAUUGGUCCUUCAGAAGUACCAGGAUCCAGGGAGUGGGGGAGGGGGUGGCUGGACUACCUCUUAUUGUUGUCCCCUUUAUGCUUUAUCUAAAUGUGAAAGACAGUGUUGAUGGUGUUCCAGGCCACCCAAGGGCCCAUGGGAAUGACUCUUGUCAAAGUUUUAUUGGUUUGGUGCAUGUAUAGUGAAGUUACAGAGUUGGAGCCCAGGGCCCUCCAAGCUGCAGCUCCCCUCCCCCCUCAGGGCUGGAGGACACCAGGCCCAACAGUGUCAGUGGCUUCCUACCCACAAUCUCCUCUGAGGCAGAGGCACUGGAAAGGAAAAGGAAUUGGAAAGAGAAGAGAUCAGCAAGGAAGCGGUAGGAGGCUACCCACUCACUCCCCCAAAGAGCUCCAAGUUAUCACCUCCAACUUGAGCCCCAACCCAGGUCCGAGGCCUGACUUCCCAGGAUGGCCAGCAUUUGCUGUGAGGAAUGGAUGUGCCCAAGACUUGUCAGAGGGUGGCUGGGUGGGUUGGAGGAUAGAGGAAGAUCAGCUGCUUUUCUCCUUACGGUCCCUCUAGGGGCCUGUGAGGAUUAGCGUGGUUCCCUUCAAAGGGUACAGAAACCACAUGGGGUGCUAUAACAGGGUAGGACACAGCAGUACCCACUGCUAUGAAAUGUAGGGGUUCACACUGGAGUGAGGGUGGAAAACAGAUUUUUUCAGCCUCAA